rnacentral:rRNA from 1 species
CACGCAAGUCGAGCGCCCCGCAAGGGGAGCGGCAGACGGGUGAGUAACGCGUGGGAAUCUACCGUGCCCUGCGGAAUAGCUCCGGGGAACUGGAAUUAAUACCGCAUACGCCCUUCGGGGGAAAGAUUUAUCGGGGUAUGAUGAGCCCGCGUUGGAUUAGCUAGUUGGUGGGGUAAAGGCCUACCAAGGCGACGAUCCAUAGCUGGUCUGAGAGGAUGAUCAGCCACAUUGGGACUGAGACACGGCCCAAACUCCUACGGGAGGCAGCAGUGGGGAAUAUUGGACAAUGGGCGAAAGCCUGAUCCAGCAAUGCCGCGUGAGUGAUGAAGGCCUUAGGGUUGUAAAGCUCUUUUACCCGGGAAGAUAAUGACUGUACCGGGAGAAUAAGCCCCGGCUAACUCCGUGCCAGCAGCCGCGGUAAUACGGAGGGGGCUAGCGUUGUUCGGAAUUACUGGGCGUAAAGCGCACGUAGGCGGCUUUGUAAGUAAGAGGUGAAAGCCUGGAGCUCAACUCCAGAACUGCCUUUUAGACUGCAUCGCUUGAAUCCAGGAGAGGUGAGUGGAAUUCCGAGUGUAGAGGUGAAAUUCGUAGAUAUUCGGAAGAACACCAGUGGCGAAGGCGGCUCACUGGACUGGUAUUGACGCUGA